CGUUAUAUGCCUUUAUUGUCACAGAUAUUAUUUUCUGUUGGGCCAUUGUUACUGACUUUCCAACAAAUAAAAAGACAAGCCCGAACUUUCAUUCGGGCUUUUUUUGUUG
rnacentral:sRNA from 1 species